rnacentral:rRNA from 1 species
GAAACAGCCCAGACCACCAGCUAAGGUCCCAAAAUAUAUGUUAAGUGGAAAAGGAUGUGGCGUUGCCCAGACAACUAGGAUGUUGGCUUAGAAGCAGCCAUCAUUUAAAGAGUGCGUAAUAGCUCACUAGUCGAGUGACACUGCGCCGAAAAUGUACCGGGGCUAAACAUAUUACCGAAGCUGUGGAUUGUCCUUUGGACAAUGGUAGGAGAGCGUUCUAAGGGCGUUGAAGCAUGAUCGUAAGGACAUGUGGAGCGCUUAGAAGUGAGAAUGCCGGUGUGAGUAGCGAAAGACGGGUGAGAAUCCCGUCCACCGAUUGACUAAGGUUUCCAGAGGAAGGCUCGUCCGCUCUGGGUUAGUCGGGUCCUAAGCUGAGGCCGACAGGCGUAGGCGAUGGAUAACAGGUUGAUAUUCCUGUACCACCUAUAAUCGUUUUAAUCGAUGGGGGGACGCAGUAGGAUAGGCGAAGCGUGCGAUUGGAUUGCACGUCUAAGCAGUAAGGCUGAGUAUUAGGCA